rnacentral:lncRNA from 1 species
ACACUAGGGGUUUCUUGGGGAUACGCAGAUGACAAAGACAGUGUCUCUUCAUCCAGGAGCUAAUCAAGAGAAGGGGGAAGAAUCAAGCAAACUUCAUAAUACACAGCCGGAUGAAAUGAAAAGAGACUUAGAUCAAGUGCUGUGAGAGCUUGGAAGAGGCACGGGGCAAAUAACACUGGGGCUGGUGGUGGGAAGGCAAGUGACAGCCUCGUGGAAGAGGUGGCAUUUGACCAGAGAUGAGGACGAACAGAAUUAACAUAGUAGGCAUGAAGGAAGAAAAUGCGCCUGAGGACACAGCCAGCACAAAUGCAGAGGCAUACAAGUGCCUGGUACAGCUGGCAUGCAGGGAUGGCUGAGGAACUGCGGGGGCAGCCGGUGGGAUCCAUCCGAGGCAGGGGCACAGAUAGAAAGCUGCUGAGAGACUACACUCUGAGGUCAGCCUUGACCCUGAGGCUCAUCUGGCUCUCCCUGUUCCUCUACAGCCAGGCAAACAGGAUUCCUGCAGACAAUGCUCGGAUGAUGAAAUCUGAGAGGCUGGAUGACAGAGAAACCCACAUGCAUACACACACACUUUAUAAAGCUUAGGAACAAAAGCACUUUAUAAUCUCCUUCUGAUGCCAAGUUUACAGUGCUUCCAGAGUCAACAAAGGUGACUCAGGAGAGUGCACCCAGCUCCUUUCAGCACUUAUUUAGCUCAGCCACCUGUGUGAGCUCAAAGACAAGGGUGCCGACUUCACCUGAGUAGACCCUGAGUCACGUGAUUUCUUGCUGGAGAUGAUUCAGCAAAGGAGCACUAACCUCUGAGACAAGGCUUCAGCUUCCUGAGCUCUGCUGACUCGCCUGGGACUUCCCUAAGCCCUUCUGGACCUAGAUGAGGGCAAAACUCAGUGGAACCUCAGAAGCCCUAAAAAAAUGAUAGACUUUCUUUUGUCUCAUCAUUAUCAGCAUUUUGGGAUGAUUUAGUCAGCCUAAGAAACCUGAUGGCAUGUUGACACCAGAAAACAGGUAGUAUAUAUUCCCAAACCAAGUUAAAAAAAAUUAAGAAAUAACAGCUGGAAUGCCUUUUAUUUUUUCUUUACACAAAUGUGUGUGUCAUCGUCAUAUGCCUUUUUUGUGUUAAUUUCUGAGGAUCCUGCCAGUGUGAAUACUCCAUUCUCUGCGAGUCGCAGGUCAGGCUGCUUUUGAGGCAAGCACACGUUAAGUAUUGAGCAGAAACAUUUGAAGCAAAGAUGAGAAAGACAGAAGGGGAAGCAAGAAAAAUAGUCUUCCCAGUGUGCCUAUUUGGGUGCAUAUAAAGUUACUUUUAGAUGUGCGAUUACUGGUUAAUGAUUUGGGGAAUUCUUUUCAAGUAGAAAUCCUGGGCUAAAAACUAAGUGUGCUCAAGCUACCCCCGCACCCACUGAUUCUGCACUCCAUGGGAAAAGUUCUCACAAGCAAGUCCUUUGUCCACUACCCACGUCUAUAGGAAAUGUUUGAACAGCUAUACACAAAGAACUCACAAGUCCACAACCUCGGGGGUGUUGCGGGUGGAGAGGGCAGUGGUAAAGGUGAUGACAGGGAGGGCCUGUGGGGACAGUAAUAUUAGAUUAGUGGUCAGAAGAUGCUGGAGCCUGCCUUGCCAGUCACACACUUUUAGAGGAAUGCUGGACAGUACACACCCUCCCCAACCCUGAAUGUAGGCCCUCGCUGACAUCACGCCAGAUGAAGCCCUGAGGUCUUUAACAUCUGUAACUCUAUGGCAUGUAACAUAAACAGGUGUCUGACCAGUUUCCCCAGAUAUAGAAUAAUAAUAAUACCUUUCAUUUAAAAAGGUAAGAGGGAAUUCAACAAGCUUUCCUUCUUAAAUAAAUCUCCAUCUCAGGAAGCCAUGGAAAGAUGCCCCUCCCACACUAAGACUGUAGAGAGAGGCACUGUGAAGGUCUGGCUUGGAGAUCUCAGCUCUUCCUGCCUCUCAGGGGGAAAGGGCAGAUCCAGCAGGCCGGGAAAGGAUCUCCCAGGGUCCCAAGGAGGCAGCAUGGGGCAAAGUCCAACAGUGAGGAUUCUCUCCUUCUCUGGUCUCUUUUCUGUUAAAAAUGCUUCUUUGGGGUACCCUUCAUUACUACCCUGGAGGUUGAAGGACACUUCUUGAGAAGGCAUAGAUACUCUUCAGGUAUGCUGAAGAAAUGAGUUGUGCUAAAACCACUGGUUAAUUUUGUCUGUGGCAAAAAAUCAUGAGGGUGACAUAGACUCCCAGGCCAGGAACCCGAGACUGGAUUUAAGAGAUGUGGCCAGGAUCCACAGGGGAGCUUGUAUGUGGCUCACAUCAUUAGCUCUUUCUGUAUAUUUGUAUUGUAAACCAUUUCCCUUCAUUUGUGAAGAUGGAGAUCACUUUUUCUAUACAGGCUAGAAAUGUUUCUUCAUACACACACGCUGAGCUUGUUUAUAAAAGAUAUUCAUUUAUAUGGUGGUUUUAACAACUUUUCCAUGUGGAAAUUUUAGACGACAGUAACACAGACCCUCAUGUACUCAUCACUCAGCCUUGAUGGUUACUGACACAUGCCCAAUAUUGUUUCAUCUGUUUCUCCCCACAACUCCUGGAUUAAUUUGAAAGAAAUCCUAGAAGUCACUUAAUCAGCAAAUACUCCAGUCUGUUGGUCCACUCCUUAUACAAUAGCCAGGGUGAUCUUUUACACAUGAAGUAGUGAUUGCAUCACUCAUGCUUGCUUGGAAUUCUUCAAAGACUUACGUUGGCACUUCAGAUAAAGUGUAGACUCCUUCGCGUGACCUAGGAUGUCCUUUGGGCUCUCACUGUUCCCUCAGCCUCCUCACCUGAAGCUCUCACUGCCCCACCCCUUUGCUCAUCACACUCCAACCCGCCUGCCAUUGAGCUACUCAAAUGGACUGCUCCUUUCUCAAGACCUCUGCACACUUUCAAGCCUCAUUUCUCUUCAGCCUUUAUUAAAUGUCAUCUCCUCCAGAUGGCCUCCUUUGGUGGCCCAGGUCAUGUUAGAUCUGCCUGUUAAAUAAAUGCUUUCAAAGAA